CAGAGACGGAGAAGACAUACCCUGUAAGGUCUAAUUAAAUUUAUUAUGAUAAAUGAUGGAUCAACAUGUAUGCAGCAGCGACUAAAUAGUGAAAUUUUCUUCUUGCAUUUAGCAAUUUGUAGCUCCAACUUCAGUCUGCAGCAUGUUAUAGCUGUUUAAGGUUUCUGCUUCUGGUUGUGAUUUAGAUUGGGCCCCAUACUUGUUAUAUUGUG
rnacentral:misc_RNA from 1 species